rnacentral:rRNA from 1 species
UGGGGAAUAUUGCACAAUGGGCGCAAGCCUGAUGCAGCCAUGCCGCGUGUAUGAAGAAGGCCUUCGGGUUGUAAAGUACUUUCAGCGAGGAGGAAGGCGUUGUGGUUAAUAACCGCAACGAUUGACGUUACUCGCAGAAGAAGCACCGGCUAACUCCGUGCCAGCAGCCGCGGUAAUACGGAGGGUGCAAGCGUUAAUCGGAAUUACUGGGCGUAAAGCGCACGCAGGCGGUCUGUCAAGUCGGAUGUGAAAUCCCCGGGCUCAACCUGGGAACUGCAUCCGAAACUGGCAGGCUAGAGUCUUGUAGAGGGGGGUAGAAUUCCAGGUGUAGCGGUGAAAUGCGUAGAGAUCUGGAGGAAUACCGGUGGCGAAGGCGGCCCCCUGGACAAAGACUGACGCUCAUGUGCGAAAGCGUGGGGAGCAAACA